rnacentral:ncRNA from 2 species
CUAUAAUAAAUCCAUACAGCUCGUAUAUAUUUGGAAAUAGGGUCCAAACGUUUCUACCGAACUACCGUAAAUGGUUUGACUACGAGAGGGAUAGGCUGCAUG